ensembl:lncRNA
UUCUGCCAGCCGCGGCUGCCGCUGGAGCCGGUGUCCGGGCUGGUGAUGGGGUUAAUUCCCUUUCGUAAGACUCCUACUUGCACCCACCCAGCCCCGCCGUCGCCCCGCCGCGCCGCGCUCCAACCGCCUCCUCCUCCUCCUCAGUAACGCGGAGGAGAAGGCGAUGGCACCCACUCCAGUACUCUUGCCUGGAGAACCUCAUGGAUGGAGGAGCCUGGUGGGCUACAGUCCAUGGGGUCGCUGAGAGUCGGACACAACUGAGCGACUUCACUGUCACUUUUCACUUUCAUGCAUUGGAGAAGGAAAUGGCACCCCACUCCAGUGCUCUUGCCUGGAGAACCCCAGGUACGGGGGAGCCUGUUGGGCUGCCAUCUCUGGGGUCGCACAGAGUCGGACACGACUAAUGCGACUUAGCAGCAGCAGCA